GGGGGUUGGAGGAGAGACAAGUAGAGUCUCCCUGGGCCCCCGCCUCUCGACGGGUUCCAAACAGGGAAAGCCAGGAGAGAAGUUCCAAGAGGGUACCCCAGGAAGCGCCCUUGCCAUGGCCGUGGGCUCCUGCCACCCGCCUCCUCCAGGCAGCGCGACUUUCUGAGCUGCUCCUCGGUGUCUAUCGAGCCCAGCCACCUUCCUGACAGAGAGCCGUCGGGGUCGCUUGCCACUGGGGUGCGCCGCCGGCGCCCUACUGCACGUGAGGGGACUGUCCCAUAUGACCUCCUGGUCGGCCUGAGCAACUCGCCCCACCCGCCCUACAAUCCGCCCUUGGACAUAGAGUCUAAGCGACGGGCAAGGUCCAUUACUUCCUCACCUGCUUGCAAAACACAGGGUAACAACCGUACCCCCACCCCACCCCCCGCAAGGGGUUCUGCUGCUCUCCUGCCUCGAGUUCUCUCCUGCCUCGUCCGUCACACAAUUCCUCAAA
rnacentral:lncRNA from 1 species